AUAGACCUGCUCUCUAAAACAAAAUAUUUUAAGUGUCUUUCGCCAAAAGUUUACAAACGGAAUAACCAGAAAAACAAAAUUUAUUAUUUGGUUAUUUCAUAUUUCUUAUCAAUAACGUGCACAAAAAGUGAAAUUAAAUGUUGAGCAGGGAUCGGGAUCGGAAUCGGGACCUGCCGCCUCAUUGAAACUGUGGUGCCCAUGCCUGUAAGGCUGAUUUCCGUACGACUUUCUCAACAGUUCACAUUAAUUUUUCCUCAUCUGGAAGCUUCUCCUUAUACUCAUGCAUCCUCUCGGACAUCAGCGGUUUGCAGCCCUCGUCCUUGAAGAACAUGACAAUGGCCUGGAACAAAGACGGAGAAUGUCAUCGUUUUUGAUAUCCCUAAUGUGGGUGCGCAGUAUUGAAUCUGGAUAUUGGCAAGUAAAGAGGCAAGGAACGUGAAGCUUAGGCUGGAAGAAUGCGGGCUUCUAGCUAUGUCCAGUGAUUUCUUCGCAGAUCGUCGAUGGCCUUAUCCAGCAUGGCGGCUAGGGUCUCCAGGAGCCACUUACAUACAAAGGUGUGGGAUACAUCCUGCCUGUAGCAUCUGAAACAGUCAUCAGAGAUCCACUUUGCGAGAGACUUCUCGACUGGCUGCUCAGACUUUCUCACCAGAAUUCUAGUCAAGUGUGCGUACAGUGGUCUCCCAGCACUUCUCCUCUUGCGAAUACCUCAUCUAGUGUGCCCUGGACACAACUGUCAACUUGAAUUGUUGAAAUACUAAAGAAAAGGAAACGUUUAGUCAUUCGCCACUCAAAAGUCGUCGAGGAUAG